rnacentral:lncRNA from 1 species
AAAAAAAAAAAAAAAGGAGUUGGAAACCAGCGAGAAAGAAAUUCACUUGCUAAAUUUUAACCAAAAUCUUUACAGAAAGUGUUGAAGGCAUUUGAAGUGAGCAUGGUGAUGUACAAAGCCCACCGGAUUAUACUUCCUUCUUUGCUCGGAUCUCUGCAUCCUGGUGUACAUACGAGUUUGAUGUUGGCAGUCAAUUAAAAUGAAGUAUCAAAAUUAAACUGAGCCUGGACAAGAAUUCAUAAAUCUCAAGGUCUUAAGGAUUACAAAACAAACAAUGGAGAGACUACUCAAUGGUUUAUAUAGCCCCAGCCACUCUUACAGACCACCUGAUAUCAGGCAGCCCACAAGCUAAUUCCAGAGCCUAAGGAUCCACACCCCCUUCUGGUAUCUGUGGGAACUGCAGUCAUAUGCACAAAUCCACACCAGGGACACACACAUAUAUGUUCAUAACUCAAAGUUAAAAUCUUUUGAAAAAUAAAAAGCAACAAAGUCCUGUUCAACCCCACUGGAUUCCCUAGCUAUUAAUAACAUAUUGAUGAUGAUAUUUUAAAUGCUAUUGUCUUAAAACAUUUUAUUUUGUGUCUUUGCUUUUAUAUUUUAUAUUUUAUAAUGCACCAGAUUUCCAGUCCAGCAGAGAGUAAACAUGAUUUUAAAGUGUGUGCACAUAUUUGAGAAGCAUGCUCAGUCGCCCUGUCCAAGCAGGGAUCUGGUCAAGGAAGCUUAGUGGCCUGUGGUCUGAUGGCUCCCAGCUGGGGAACUAGAAACCACUCUCUGCCUGCCAAACUUGGAACAGCUUAGAUGCCAAGUUCUAGUCAUGGCAGCAGGCAGAUAAGAACCACUUAGCUGUGUGGUUUCCCCAAAUGCAGGAAAAACCCAGAGGGUCACUCUGAAGCCAUAUCUCCAGCCAAGCAGGCUACCAGUUCAUUGAAAGCUUCACAGAGUUUGGAACUGUGUGCCAAGUUUGAACCAGACAGGUUAACCAUCUCCUUCAAAAUCUUCAAAGUGUUGCCCUUGGUCAAUGGUUACAAUCUGUGGGCCUUUCUUCAUUUUCUACCUUACCAUGUUUCCUUACCUUCAUGUAUCCCUUGCCAAAUAAAAAAUAUGUCUUAUUCUUACAUCAAAGGCCCACCAAUGGUAACAAAGGCCACCACUGC